rnacentral:ncRNA from 1 species
GGUGCGCAUCGCGACUGGCGUACGGGGAAGCGACCCCGAGGGAGCGGUGUGCGGCCACCAUCACGAGGUGCCGCCCGCCUGGGCACCCGGG